AAUUCCAAAACUUUAAAGAAGAGGAAUAGAAGAACCUGAGAAAAGGAAGUCUUUUCUACCUAUUCACUCUCCCUUCUUCCUCGUUUAUCUCGUUCCUUAACAACCACAUAUUAAAUUUGCACUGAGAGAUACAGAAAGAUAAGGCCACUACUUCUGAAAAAAUAAACCGACAAUAUUUCGAGAUCCUCAUUUCAACAACCAUGUGUGUCUCUAAGUGCAAGCAGAAAAACUAAAAAAACUAUACAAGUACACAACUAAAGUCAAACUAGACGAUGCACAUGUCGCCUAUCAAGGUAGAGUGAAGGUAAUAUAAGAAAAAUUGAUUCCCGGACAACCAAUUUUUCUUAAAUUACCUUAAAACUACCGAGGACGAUCUCUAAAAUCAAAAUGAAUAAUGAUAAAGGAAAGAUCAAUA